rnacentral:tRNA from 1 species
CCGCCGUUAGCUCACCUGGAAAGAGCAUCAGCCGCGUAGCUGAAGGUUUGGGGUUCGAGUCCCUGACGGCGGUCCA